rnacentral:snRNA from 1 species
AUCUUUGCACUUGGGGCAAUGACGCAGCUAGUGAGGUAUACCCGAGGCGUGUCAAUUGCUGGUUGAAAACUAUUUCCAAACUAA